GACGAACGCUGGCGGCGCGCCUAACACAUGCAAGUCGAACGGAGCUUAGAGAGCUUGCUUUUUAAGCUUAGUGGCGAACGGGUGAGUAACGCGUGAGGAACCUGCCCUAGAGUGGGGGACAACAGUUGGAAACGACUGCUAAUACCGCAUAAGCCCACGGUACCGCAUGGUACUGAGGGAAAAGGAUUUAUUCGCUUUAGGAUGGACUCGCGUCCAAUUAGCUAGUUGGUGAGGUAACGGCCCACCAAGGCGACGAUUGGUAGCCGGACUGAGAGGUUGAACGGCCACAUUGGGACUGAGACACGGCCCAGACUCCUACGGGAGGCAGCAGUGGGGGAUAUUGCACAAUGGGGGAAACCCUGAUGCAGCGACGCCGCGUGGAGGAAGAAGGUUUUCGGAUUGUAAACUCCUGUCGUUAGGGACGAUAAUGACGGUACCUAACAAGAAAGCACCGGCUAACUACGUGCCAGCAGCCGCGGUAAAACGUAGGGUGCAAGCGUUGUCCGGAAUUACUGGGUGUAAAGGGAGCGCAGGCGGGAAGACAAGUUGGAAGUGAAAACCAUGGGCUCAACCCAUGAAUUGCUUUCAAAACUGUUUUUCUUGAGUAGUGCAGAGGUAGAUGGAAUUCCCGGUGUAGCGGUGGAAUGCGUAGAUAUCGGGAGGAACACCAGUGGCGAAGGCGGUCUACUGGGCACCAACUGACGCUGAGGCUCGAAAGCAUGGGUAGCAAACAAGAUUAGAUACCCUGGUAGUCCAUGCCGUAAACGAC
rnacentral:rRNA from 1 species